CGAACAUGGACAAAGGCGAAGUUUUAAAAGGCUGUGCAAUAUAAUGGAAUGACAUUGACUGGGUGUGGAUUUAUGAAGUCCUAAACGGAUGCUCUGUAGCUUUGGUUGUAGAAUCAUAAUAGCUUUGGUUGCAAAACCUGGAAUUGAUGUGAUUGUAGAAAGAUCUAAAUAUAUAUAAGGAAAGUAAACCUUAGAUUUGAAUGGUCUGUCGUUGCAGAAUUCCUCUUUAAAUCGUCUGUCGUUGAGACACUUUCAUUGCAAGGGCAACUGAGAAGCUUUCGGAGGCUGCUGCAGCUUACAUUGAGGCACAGAAAAUUAAGGCAGGGAAGCAACAGCAGGUACAAAUGGAGCAGCUACAGCUAUUGGGGCAGCGCGGGUUACAAUCUCAAUCAACAAGAUGCAAAACGAGGAGGGAAUCAUCACCCAGCUCUAGAUCCCGAGAAAAUGGUGAUGUGGAGAUGCGCUGGGUUGAUGCAUAUUUCCCAUUUACCGACCCAUCAUUUGAACUUGAGAUGUUUUUCAAUGUAUGCUACUGAGUUCGAUCACUUUGAGGGGAAAAAAAGCAUUUCAAGUCUCUCCUGUUAUGUCAUUCUGUUAGAGGUUCUUUCUUUUUCAUGGACGGUACCUAAGAGUAAUCCAUUAUGCAGAAGAAUGUAGUAUUUCCUUACUACGAACAAGUAAUAACUAACCAGAAUGGUACACACUCAAGUAAGACAAGAUAAAAAUUAGUGUACGGAAUAUUGAUU